UAUGCCACGAAGCUCCUUUACCCAGAUAUUUGCCAAAAUCUUCUUUCAGCUUCUCUCCUCUGACAGGCCUCUGGAGGACCAAACUUUAAUAGAGUCUGAGAGAAGAAAGCCGGCCAGUCUAUGUGCUUGUCCACACUGAUGCCGAACUUUUCCUCCUGGAGCCAGUUCCCCUUACAGGCAGUCAGGAAACCACAAAUAAGGGAACAAGAAAUAGCCUCAAGAAGAAAAAACUUUGGGAGAAUGUGCACUGAGAAAAGCCAGAUGGAGUCCCUCUGGAUCAAGUUAAUUAAGAAAUAAACACGAAGGUUAACUGGAGUCAAAACCAAGGAACGCAGUGAGGACCGGUUUCUCAAUUGCCUAGAAGAGAAGACACAGUUCCUUUUCAACUAAAAUUAGAAAGCCACUGGGAACAUAAGCCAAGAAGCACGGGUUUGCACCUGGCUUUUGGGAUUCAGCAGCCCCACCGACGAGCAUCAGCUAACAGGCCGAGCCUCUGUCAGAAAAUUCUUAAACGGCUCAUAAUUCUGCUACGAGCUUGCAGGUUUCUAGCUGGUGUUCAAGGACCCAAGUGAAAACACUACAAAGUUUUUGUCCACUCC